AAUAACUAUUUCCAACUGCCCGCCUGUAUCUACAAGUAUGCCUCCAACUGGCUAGACGACUUCCCAAUGGACGACACACAUAGGUUACAUGAAGACAUACCAAGUCGUUGAGGGCUUCAAUAACUGGCUACCUAACUUAAGCGUGGACUGCGAAGAUGUUGACGAUGUCUAAGUAACUUCCGAUAUCAGGGACGCUAUAUGCUACGGGUCUCGGACAACGUACCUCUCACUAAAAGCUAUAAACUACUCAUAGAAUGACACAAACGACGUUGGACAACUACAUACCCAGUUCGGCUUUAAAAAUAAUCUAACUGGAAUGUGACCUAUGACAUCCUAUAUGAUAGCUAGUGACGAAAAUAUCCUAAGAAUAUGCAACACAUCGUUCAC